rnacentral:rRNA from 1 species
UACGUAGGGUGCGAGCGUUAAUCGGAAUUACUGGGCGUAAAGGGUUUGUAGGUGGCUCGCUAAGUCACACGUGAAAUCCCUCAGCUUAACUGGGGAACUGCGUGUGAGACUGGCGAGCUUGAGGACAGGAGAGGAACGCGGAAUUCCAGGUGUAGCGGUGAAAUGCGUAGAUAUCGAGAGGAACACCAGUGGCGAAGGCGAGUCCCUGGACAAAACCUGACACUGAGG